AUUGAACGCUGGCGGCAUGCUUUACACAUGCAAGUCGAACGGUAACAGGGUGCUUGCACCGCUGACGAGUGGCGAACGGGUGAGUAAUGCGUCGGAACGUGCCGAGUAGUGGGGGAUAACGCAGCGAAAGUUGUGCUAAUACCGCAUACGUACUGAGGUAGAAAGUGGGGGACCUUCGGGCCUCACGCUAUUCGAGCGGCCGACGUCCGAUUAGCUAGUAGGUGAGGUAAAGGCUCACCUAGGCGACGAUCAGUAGCGGGUCUGAGAGGAUGAUCCGCCACACUGGGAGCGAGACACGGCCCAGACUCCUACGGGAGGCAGCAGGGGGGAAUUUUGGACAAGGGGCGAAAGCCUGAUCCAGCCAUGCCGCGUGUCUGAAGAAGGCCUUCGGGUUGUAAAGGACUUUUGUCGGGGAGGAAAUCCCCAGCGUUAAUACCGCUGGGGGAUGACAGUACCUGAAGAAUAAGCACCGGCUAACUACGUGCCAGCCGCCGCCGUAACAC
rnacentral:rRNA from 1 species